GGUGGGCUGACUUCACGAAAGCUGUGUUUAGUCCUGCUGUGCUGCCUGACCAGCCUGCUGAUUGACUUGGAACCUGCCCUGACCUUCCUUGGGAAUAAAUUCAUUCAGACAUGACCUGAUGGGACUUUCCAUGAGUAAGAGACUGAAGAGUUCAACUAGGGAGAGCUGGCAAGAUAGCAGUGAGGAAAUCAAAGCUGAUGCAUAACUAGAAAUCAAGGGAGGCUUCUCAUUUCAAACUCAGUGAGCCAACACAUCGCUGAAGUGCCUGAAGAGAGAUUGAUGAAUUUAGUCUUCCAGAUGGAUCAAAACAUUCAGAAGUUCAAACAAACAUUCAGAAGUUUUCAAAUUAAAUUCUUGAACUCAAGAUUCCUUGCAGCACGGCUGUUUUUCCCCUCCAGUUAAUGGGGGGUAUUUUUAUUUAGGGUUAAAAGAUAAAAGGCCCUUAUUGAUAUUUCCUUCAAAGAAUUAUAAGAAUUGAUAGAAUUGAGCUCAGAUGAAAUAUGCCACUUUUUCAGACUUACCAUUUUUGAAGCUUAAUAGUAAGUGAACUGUAAAUGAAUAGAAAAGUUGAGGAAACUUAAAGAGUUUUUUUCCCUUAGAAAUCUUGCCAUAAUGAUCCCUAGAUACUGGCCCAUAAUGAAUGCAUUAACAGGAAGGGAGGAUGCAUGCAUCUUGUUUUUGUUUGUGGGACAUAUUCUGUUUUUGUUAUUAUAUAUUAAUGUUGUCGAUUUUAAAUCUGAUUGGGCUAUGUACCGCCUAGGGCACCAUGCUUUACUUUUAGUUUUGGUUUCUGUUCAGAACAAUAAAGUUAUCA